rnacentral:rRNA from 1 species
ACCUACGGGGGGCAGCAGUGAGGAAUAUUGGUCAAUGGGCGGAAGCCUGAACCAGCCAAGUCGCGUGAGGGAAGAAGGCCCUGCGGGUCGCAGACCUCUUUGGACGGGGAGCAAGGCCGCCGACGUGUCGGCGGAAGGAGAGUACCCGUAGAACAAGCAUCGGCUAACUCCGUGCCAGCAGCCGCGGUAAUACGGAGGAUGCGAGCGUUAUCCGGAUUUAUUGGGUUUAAAGGGUGCGUAGGCGGUUUGUCAAGUCAGCGGUAAAAAUUCCGGGCUCAACCCGGUCCCGCCGUUGAAACUGGCGG